AGUGAACGCUGGCGGUAGGCCUAACACAUGCAAGUCGAACGGCAGCACAGUAAGAGCUUGCUCUUACGGGUGGCGAGUGGCGGACGGGUGAGGAAUACAUCGGAAUCUACUUUUUCGUGGGGGAUAACGUAGGGAAACUUACGCUAAUACCGCAUACGACCUACGGGUGAAAGCAGGGGAUCUUCGGACCUUGCGCGAUUGAAUGAGCCGAUGUCGGAUUAGCUAGUUGGCGGGGUAAAGGCCCACCAAGGCGACGAUCCGUAGCUGGUCUGAGAGGAUGAUCAGACACAAUGGAACUGAGAAACGGUCCAGACUCCUAAGGGAGGCAGCAGUGGGGAAUAUUGGACAAUGGGGGCAAGCCUGAUCCAGGCAUACCGCGUGGGUGAAGAAGGCCUUCGGGUUGUAAAGCCCUUUUGUUGGGAAAGAAAAGCAGCAGGUUAAUACCCCGCUGUUCUGACGGUACCCAAAGAAUAAGCACCGGCUAACUUCGUG
rnacentral:rRNA from 1 species